GCGGGAGUAGCUCAGUUGGUAGAGUACCAGCUUCCCAAGCUGGGUGUCGCGGGUUCGAACCCCGUCUCCCGCU
rnacentral:tRNA from 1 species